rnacentral:rRNA from 1 species
ACUCCUACGGGAGGCAGCAGUGGGGAAUAUUGCACAAUGGGCGCAAGCCUGAUGCAGCCAUGCCGCGUGUAUGAAGAAGGCCUUCGGGUUGUAAAGUACUUUCAGCAGUGAGGAAGGUGGAUAUGUUAAUAGCAUAUUCUAUUUGUACGUUAGCUGCAGAAGAAGCACCGGCUAACUCCGUGCCAGCAGCCGCGGUAAUACGGAGGGUGCGAGCGUUAAUCGGAAUUACUGGGCGUAAAGCGCAUGCAGGUGGUUUGUUAAGUCAGAUGUGAAAGCCCGGGGCUCAACCUCGGAAUUGCAUUUGAAACUGGCAAACUAGAGUACUGUAGAGGGGGUAGAAUUUCAGGUGUAGCGGUGAAAUGCGUAGAGAUCUGAAGGAAUACCGGUGGCGAACGGCGGCCCCCGUGGACAGAUACUGACACUCAGAUGCGAAAGCGUGGGAGCAAACAGGAUUAGAU